GGAAGCAGAGCCGGUGAGGGAGAUGUUCUGGAGCCUGCAGGGCUGUGCAGUCAGAAGGAGGCGCAAACCAGAAUCUGAAGACGCAGGUUUGAGUCUCAGCUCCCUUGCUGACUAGCUGUGUGAUCCUCGCAAUUCAGGAUUUGGCCACAGGUUCAUGGAGGAAGGGAAUUUGGGGAGCCGAGGAAUGAGCGGGGCAGGAAGCACAUACGAACGUCCUGCACCAGGCUGCACUAAGAACCUUCCCUCUGUUUGAUGGCUAAGGCCUUGCUUUGACAGCACAUGUGGCUUUCCUGCAAUGGGAUCGUCCUUCAAGAGGACCUCACAGGCUCUCCACCCGGACUGUGACGUAAGCAGCUGCAGCAGCCUUGGAUGUUUCUGGAUAGCCAGCCCCAUGAGAACAGCUUUAAAAUAGGAGACUGGCAUUGUGAUGAAGUGUGGACUUCGCUGUCAUAUAGACCUGGAUUUAAAUCCUGGCUUCAGUGUUUAUGGAUGACGUUGGACAAGUCAUUUAACCUCCUUAAGUCUCAGAGUUCUCAUUAUGGAAAUGGAGCUCUUAAUAGUACCUACCCCCUAGUGUGGUUGUGAGGGUUGAGAUCAUCUAUGUUCAAUGUGCUUAUUAUACAGAGACUGGGACAUGUAAGUGCUACAUAAAUGUUAGCUUUUAUUAGUCACUGGAGUGGAGGAGAGAGGACUGUUGCCUCCUUGUCAAUGUCCCCAUCCUGGGAAGCCUGCCUGUGUGUACCAAGGCCCAUCUGACCCAUAUAUCAGAAAAGGUGCCCUUCUAGGGAGCGACACCCCCCACCAAGCCCCCCAGUCACUGUCCGUGCUUUCCUCUAGGUUCAAAAUGCAGCUGCAUCUGUGCAGAAACCAGGUGUUGCCUGUGAGUUCUGCCUCGCUGGCCAGAGGUGGAAGGAAGGAGGAAAGAAGAGGGGCCUCCAUACUUCCAGAGCCCCACUGGGGGUUACCUUCGCUUGCCCCCACUCUUUUUGUCUUGCUCUGAGGAUGCCAGGACUUUAAGGACAUUGUCAGCGAGCACAGAAAGAAUCUCAGUCAUCUGGACUGCUUUGUGCUAUAUGAAAAUCUCUGAGAACCUUCAAGAGCCCAAAAACAGUUCUCCUCCAUGCUGUAUGCCAUGGUCAGUGGUUAAAGAGAACAUUCUGUUCCACUCCUCCAGCUCUGCCUUAGAAACCCAAGCCCUGCACUCCAAGGCUCCUGGCAUCGUACACCAGCACCAGCAAUUUCCUGCCAAAAGCAUCAGCCAAAAUCUAUUCUAUCUAUUUCAGUUCCUCUCUUUUCAUCGGAUUGUAUUUUUACAGGUGAUUGCUAAUUCUCACACUGCUCUUCAGAUUCAUGUACAGCUGUGGUCUGAAUGUGUGUGUUUUCUCAAAAUUCAAGUUUAAAACUUAAUCCUCAAUGUGAUAGUAUCAACAGCUGCGGCCUUUUGGAAAGUGAAGGUGGAGCCCUCGUGAGUGGGAUUAGAGCUCUUAUAAAAGAGAUUGAAGGGAGCUACCUAGCCCUUCCAUCUCUUCUGCCUUGUGAGGACACAGCGUUCAUCCCUUUUGUCUUCCCACCAUUUGAAGAUGCAGAAAGAAGGUGCCAUCUUGGAAGCAAAGAGCAGCCCUCACCAGACACCAAGUCUGCUGGCACCUUGAUCUUGGACUUCCCAGCCUCCAGGACUGUGAGAAAUGAAUUUCUGUUGUUUAUAAAUUACCUAGUCUAAGGUAUGCUGUUAUAGUAGCAGGAAUGGACUAAGACACACAUUGUCAAAAUCUUCAUGAGUUAAAGGUGAAGGUACAAUCAGAACUGGUGCAUGGAAUUGGAACCAUAGGUCUUAGUAAACACCGUAAAAAUGCACUAUUCAAAUCUAUAGAAAAUGCUCUCUCUUCAAGUUCAGAAAGAAGCUACAAUCUGCUUUUCCUUUUUUUCUGAAGGGAAGUAAAAUUCUAUGUUUCUGGACUAAGAGAUCUACACCCCAGUCUUUCUCUUUCUGACAUGUAUAGUAACCUUUGGCAAAUUACUCAAGCUUUCUUUGUUCUGGUGAAAGUAAAGUGCACAGGACAGUAUUACUAAGAGGCCUGAGCAACAUUAGAGGUUGGUAACGAUGGUUCCAAAGGCCUUUAAGAAGGUGUAAUGCUAUGUGGAUGUUUUUAUUGAAACCUUCCCUGGGUUUUCAGAAUUCUCUUUGGAAUUAGUCCUGUGGGAAUAUGCCUUUUGGGAUCUAUUCUCACUUCUUAUUCAGUCCCCUUUUUCUUGUAUUAAAAUCUACAAUUUGAAGUUAUUCUGUCUUUAAAAAUUAGGUCCAUGACCUCAUCAUCACUGGGUUUUCCUCUCCAGGCCAUUUCCAGUAGAAUGUUGGUCAUAUUCCCAUGUGAGAGAACAAAUCAGUUAUUCAUUACAUCUGAUCAAUGAGCUAGUACUACACCAUAAGGAAGUGUAGUAAAACCAGAAACUGGGAAACACCAGAAAAAAUUUGCUUUGUCCUGUGUUUUAAUUUGGGGUAUGAUAAAGUGCCACAGGACAUUAAUCCAGGGACUGAGAUAGACUCUUAAGUUUGGCAAUCAGUGAAAGAACUUGCUGAAUCUCUCUAGAAUUAACCUAAAGGAGCCAGCCUCUUUUCUCAUGAGAACAAUUUAUUUUAGGGUUAGUGAUGAAUUAAUUCUACAGUGUUUAAUUCCACAUAUAAACUUCAUUUUCUAUAUAAAUGUUUUGUUGUAACAUAUUCAAUUACUUUCUUUUGUUGUUUUUCUGCAACAUUCCCUUUUUCACCUUUUCUAACCUCUUAAGCCAAAUAAAAAACUCACUUAUCUUCUUGCUGUUG